UACGGAGGGGGCUAGCGUUGUUCGGAAUUAUUGGGCGUAAAGGGCGCGUAGGCGGCCGUAUAAGUCUGACGUGAAAUCCCUCGGCCUAACCGGGGAACUGCGUUUGAAACUGUCUGGCUCGAGUCCGGGAGAGGGUAGUGGAAUUCCCAGUGUAGCGGUGAAAUGCGUAGAUAUUGGGAGGAACACCGGUGGCGAAGGCGGCUACCUGGACCGGUACUGACGCUGAGGAGCGAAAGCCAGGGGAGCAAACGGG
rnacentral:rRNA from 1 species